rnacentral:lncRNA from 1 species
GUAGUUUCUCAACAGGUUUCCCUAUUAUGCUCUUUUUUGGAACUGAAAUUAAUUAACAAUUCUUUUCAGCACUUGUUGACCUUCCGUGAUGCUUGAACAGUUGGUUUUGCAGCUAUAAAAGUUAAAUUGUAAAUAAUCUAGUUCUCUCAGGACAGUUUUUUUGUUUUUGUUUUAAGAUACUGCUGCCCAUUCCCAAGCAAAAAUAAUGUUUUUCUUUAUAAAAACUAACACACAUCCUGUUUUUUUUCUCAAAUGAGAAGAGGGCAUUGGAGGAAAUGAUGAUGGAAAUACCACGUCACGUGUCUCAGUCUGAUUCCUGAGUAUAUUCAAACCAAUAAACACUUUGAGCAAGUUAAGAUGACUGAGCUUGAUAUCAUCUCUUGUCCACCUAGUAUUAUGCGCAAUGUUGUGCCUCCAAUGAGCUGAUCUCGUAAUACAACCAUCAUGGCAGGAUGUGGUAGAGGCCAGUUGUCUGAGGAGUGGGGCACAGAAGUAUGUGGAAUGGAUAAGAAAAAAUGAAGCAAACAAGGACAACAGGAUGCAGAAGCUGUGUGCUAUACAUCAUCCAAGAGCAGAUGCUUGACUGCAGCUAUUUCUCACACGAAAGGCAGUCACAUCAUGUGCAUUAUUUUAAAUGUAUUGUCAUCACAUGUGCCAUAAAUUAUCAGCUUUGGAGCUACUAGCUGCAUGCUUCAGCAACAGCGGGAUUACUGGAUGAAUACAGUGUGGAAUACGACAUCAAUAUUCAUGCAGAGACUGUACUCAUGUUCAUGAAGCGUUUUCAGACUUGAGGACUCCAUCAGUUGCCAACAUUUGUCAGAGAUGGGAACUACACAGAUAACUCCCUGGACAAUUAAUUAUUCAUUCAUUUUGCAUAAUCUUCAGGCUUAGUUUCAUCCGUUGUUUAAAAUGCAUGCAGAGAAAGCCUUUUGUUCUGAAAGAAGUGAAUAGCAGAUGAGAAGCUUCCUGGAAGACUGCAUCCUUGCUACCUACACUGAAUUGUGUGGGUUCAGCAAUAGGGGACAGCCACCACAGCAGAAUUGUCAGCUCUCUGCUCUUUGUGAUUGUUGUCCAAAGGUGGCUUUGGUAGAAAUAUGACAAAUAAAAUGAAAAUAGACUUAUGAAGUUUCA